AGAGAGAGACAUGCGCGCAUAUCAAUAAGCGGAGGAAAAGAAACUAACAAGGAUUCCCCUAGUAACGGCGAGUGAAGCGGGAAGAGCUCAAAUUUGAAGUCUUAAAGGGUUUCCCUUUACGAAUUGUAGUUUAAAGAAGUGUUUUCUGUUGAGGUUUUGGUAAAAGUUCUUUGGAAUAGGACAUCAUAGAGGGUGAGAAUCCCGUAUUUGACCAUUUACUUUCAGCUUUGUAAGACACUUUCAAAGAGUCGGAUUGUUUGGGAAUGCAGUCCAAAAUGGGUGGUAAAUUUCAUCUAAAGCUAAAUAUUGGCGAGAGACCGAUAGCGAACAAGUACCGUGAGGGAAAGAUGAAAAGAACUUUGAAAAGAGAGUUAAACAGUACGUGAAAUUGUCAAAAGGGAAGCGUUUGACACCAGUGUUGUUUUUCUGAAAAUCAAUUAAAGAACUGUUUAUGCUAAGUUGUUUAGACUUUAUCAGCUAAUCUGUUUAGUUUUGAGCUUUUCUUUAAUGCACUUUUCAGUUAACAAGUCAACAUCAAUUUCUUUUGCUGUAAAAAAGCUUGAGGAAGGUGGCUUGAGAUUCGUCUUAAGUGUUUAUAGCCUCUUGGCCUAUGCAAUCGGAGAGAUUGAGGUCUGCAGCGUAGAUCCUUCGGGGCUAGAUACAUUUGUGCUAAGUUAUAGCAUUUCAUAGACAACUUGUUGACUAUGAUUAGUCAUUGUAGCUUACUCGCUUAUGUUAUUUUACCUACGCUUAGGAUGUUGAUGUGAUACUGCGAGCA
rnacentral:rRNA from 1 species